rnacentral:rRNA from 1 species
GGACCCGCACAAGCGGUGGAGCAUGUGGUUUAAUUCGAUGCAACGCGAAAACCUUACCUACACUUGACAUACUUGGAAUCUUUUGUAAUGAAAGAGUGCCUUUUGGAGCCAAGAUACAGGUGCUGCAUGGCUGUCGUCAGCUCGUGUCGUGAGAUGUUGGGUUAAGUCCCAUAACGAGCGCAACCCUUACCCUUAUUUGCCAGCGAUUCGGUCGGGAACUAUAAGGGGACUGCCGGUGAUAAACCGGAGGAAGGUGAGGACGACGUCAAGUCAUCAUGGCCCUUACGUGUAGGGCUACACACGUGCUACAAUGGGGAGUACAGAUAGACGCUAAAGCGCGAGCUGGUGCUAAUCUCAUAAAACUCUUCGUAGUCCGGAUUGCAGUCUGCAACUCGACUGCAUGAAGUCGGAAUCGCUAGUAA